rnacentral:lncRNA from 1 species
ACUUGUACUGUAAGACACAAAGGAAAUGCAACCAAACCCUAAUUUAAUUGAAAACGAAAAACAAAUUUAAAGAAACAAGAAAAAUGAAGCCUUCUACUGCUGCACAUAAUCUAAAGAGAAGAAAAAGCGUUAGGUCGAAUUGUGACCUCAUCCAUCUAUCUUCCCACGAAAAGAUAAGGGGAAGGGCGAGAAUCAGACAACACGAACAUUAGCCAGACGGGGUCUCUAUACUGCUGCACAUGCUUGGUCCGCCAUGGACCGGCGACCCAUCUACGACAAAUUGAGCCGCAGAAGCUUCAGCAGCACGCUUGCAGCUUCAUCGGUGCUUGAAGGGGCGCUCUUCUUUGCGAAGAACGACGGCAGAGGUAGGGACUCCGGGGGAGGCGCAGCUAUACACGACGACGACCCGGCGUAGAACCCGGAAGCCCAGUUCCGUUCCGGAACCUUCUUCGAGUCAGGACCCAUCCGGCUGGUGGAUCCGAGAUCCGGAACCUGGGGAUUGGGAUUCUGCUUCUGUGGUGACCGAACCGGAGUCGCUUUGGGGAUUUCGUCGCCGCGUUUUAGGAUUUUGACCUGGCCCAUGACGAUAUUCUUGGGGGCUGCGGGUUUCUGGACCGGAGAGGGUGAGUUGUUGUUGGGCCGGGUCGGCCUUCGCUUCUUCCGGUCGGUUUGGGGAGAGGUUCUGACCCGAUUAGGGUUAGGGUUUCGAUUGGGAUUCAUCAGCGCUUGCUGAGGUGAGAGAGAGUCUUUGAGGCAAUUCUGGGGACUGAGAACUUGAACACCCAUCUAAAAUCUCACAAAAUCAGAUCCAAAAAUUCGAGCUCUUGCUACGAAAGAGAAGGAGGAAAUGAAAAACUUUGGGAAUUUACAGAGAGAAAUGUGACUGUGUGAAGAUUGGGAAGGAAGUAGGGUUGAGUUUUAUAGGGGAAGAUAAGAGACCUGAAGGGAAUAGGAGUAGGAAAAGCGACAAAAGGCGGUAGUGUAUAAUAGAAUCCACUUUCAUCAACCCCCCCUUGGGGGUUUCCUUCCUACACCGGUUUUUAGCCAUCAUUAUUGUUUCCCUUCACGAAUCUCAAUUAGGUUUCCUUUCCUUUUCUUUUUAGGAAAACGAUUACGUUUCCCAAAACACAUUUUGGUAUUAUUAUUUUCUUAGUGAUUUAGAAUUCAAACUUUUCUUGUUGAGGAAGAAAGUGCCCGAAAUUAGAUAUUAUGUUGUUUUUAGGUUUCCUAAAACACAUUUGUUAUUUUUUAAAGUGACUUAAAAUUCAAACUUUUCUUUUUGAAGAAGAAGGGACCCAACUUUUAAAUGUGUUACCAAAAUUCCUUAUUAUUGUGUUUAUCACAACUCCUAUUCUUAAGUAAUUAUUACAAAUUCUGAAAACUUCUUCGGAUGCUUCUCAUAGCUCAGCAUCCGAGACCAGCAGCACAACCAAUAACAACCACCAUAAUUUUCCCUAGCAAAGCAUGGGUUUCAAUUUAGGAGCUUCUCCGCUUAACCAGUACUUAGCUGCAGACCCUUCCAUCGGCAUGGAUUAUGUUUUUGGGAAGUCAUCUGCUUUUGUUUACCCUUACAAUCCAUUUGGUUCGCAUAUUGAAACUCUUGAGAAUGAAUUUCCCAUGUUUAAUCUCAUGAGUUGAGAAUAGAGGAUGCUCAGUCCUAUAUUUGUAAAAGUUGAGAAAUGAGGAUUAUGAAAGGUCAUUUUAUCACAUUCCCAUUGGUUUGUGGAGUAUUAGGAAUUAAAAUUGUUCAUCUUUCCAACAAUAUUCUUAUCUUUUUUUUUUUAAUUAAAGAGAAAUAAAUACGAAGAGUUUUUCUAAGAGUAAAAUAUGGUAUUUUAAAAAUAAGAUAUGGGUAAGUUAGCCAUAAAAAUUUGAAUUAAAUGCUUUCCCAUGUGGGGGAAAACAAAUUCCCAAGCUCAGCCAGGGUAUGAAAUUCCCUUUACAUGGGAAGUCAACACCCACGAGUCUAUAAUUGCAUUUCCAAUAGUGUACUUACUAAACAUGCGAAUGGAAUUUCAAACUAAUUCUCAAAUUCCCAAAUUUUGAACUAAACGAGACAUUAUGGUGUGUUUGGUUCAGGGAAAAUGGGGCUUGGGAUAGGAAAUUAGAAUUUUCUCAUGUUUUAUAAACCGAGUCAUAGAAAAUGAUUGCCUGACACAUGAGAAACUAGGAAAAAUUAAACUCUCAAACCCCUGAGGUGAGCAUUAAAUGCACAUUUUUAUGACUAUUUUGUCCAAUUCACAAUUUAUCACUUUGACUAUUCUUUUAUUUUAUUCAAUUCAUAUUUUUAAAAUGGGUAUACUUUAUAUUAAAUUUGUUUUAUAUUUAUACACAAACCAAACAUAAAAAAUUAAAUUCAAUAAUUUUUCACCUUCCCAAUAUUACCAAACAUAGAAAAAGAAUCAUCCUAUCAUCCAUAUCUCAUCUCUUGUAAAAGACAUUGAAAAUGAUUUCCCAUCAAAUCUUUUGAUCGACAGAACUGCUUUUGUCCUUUUGCUUUUGAUAACUCCAACCCAACCCAAACCACAAAGUCUCCAUAAAUAACCAUACAAGUUCAACAAAACCAAACAGAGUCCAGUGAAAUUCUGAGGUAAACAUUUGAUUUACUACCUUCACCAAGAAGUUCCAAGUUAGAACCCAUGUUCAUCAUAAUCUGUCAGCAAUUGAACUUUCCCAGAAGUCGAUUCCCCACAAAUUUCCAUCAAACACCUCAUACAUACACAACACAGCCAUCUCCAAACCCCAAAUUUAAUCACAAGAACAAGAUAAAGGAAAUUAAGAGUGCAAAAGAGCAGACAAAACACCAAUGGAAUUAAAAACCAAAUUAGACUUAACAAAUUGCUUGCAACUACAUCGUAAAAACUUGUGGAUACAUGUACACAAAAUAUACCCUUAUUUAACAGAAACAGCUCCUAAAAAACUAUACCUCUCAACCUUAAAUAGUACGACACAAAAAUAAAAGCAACCCAACCCUAAUUUAAUUGAAAACAAAAUGCUAAAAAUUGGAGCCAACCCAAGUUACCAACUACUGCUGCACAUAAUUAAAAUCCCUAACCCAUAAAUUAAUCUAAAAAGAAGAAAAAGCGUUAGGUCGAAUUGUGACCUCAUCCAUCUCUCUUCCCACGAAAAAAUAAGGGGAAGGGCGAUAAUCACACAACACGAACAUUAGCCAAACGCGGUCUCUACACUGCUGCACAUGCUUGGUCCGCCAUGGACCGGCGACCCUUCUACGACAAAUUG